UGGGGAAUUUGGACAAUGGGCGAAAGCCUGAUCCAGCAAUGCCGCGUGUGUGAAGAAGGCCUUCGGGUUGUAAAGCACUUUUGUCCGGAAAGAAAUCCUUGGCUCUAAUACAGUCGGGGGAUGACGGUACCGGAAGAAUAAGCACCGGCUAACUACGUGCCAGCAGCCGCGGUAAUACGUAGGGUGCAAGCGUUAAUCGGAAUUACUGGGCGUAAAGCGUGCGCAGGCGGUUUGCUAAGACCGAUGUGAAAUCCCCGGGCUCAACCUGGGAACUGCAUUGGUGACUGGCAGGCUAGAGUAUGGCAGAGGGGGGUAGAAUUCCACGUGUAGCAGUGAAAUGCGUAGAGAUGUGGAGGAAUACCGAUGGCGAAGGCAGCCCCCUGGGCAAUACUGACGCUCAUGCACGAAAGCGUGGGGAGCAAACAGGAUUAGAUACCCUGGUAGUCCACGCCCUAAACGAUGUCAACUAGUUGUUGGGGAUUCAUUUCCUUAGUAACGUAGCUAACGCGUGAAGUUGACCGCCUGGGGAGUACGGUCGCAAGAUUAAAAACUUAAAUGAAUUGACGGGGUCAUAGCUGUUUCCU
rnacentral:rRNA from 1 species